rnacentral:rRNA from 1 species
CAGUCGCCACGGUAAUACGAAGGGUGCAAGCGUUAAUCGGAAUUACUGGGCGUAAAGCGUGCGUAGGCGGUUUGUUAAGUCUGCUGUGAAAUCCCCGGGCUCAACCUGGGAAUGGCAGUGGAUACUGGCAAGCUAGAGUGUGUCAGAGGAUGGUGGAAUUCCCGGUGUAGCGGUGAAAUGCGUAGAGAUCGGGAGGAACAUCAGUGGCGAAGGCGGCCAUCUGGGACAACACUGGCGCUGGGGCACGAAAGCGUGGGGAGCAAACAGGAUUAGAUACCCCCGUAGUCCCUGUCUCUUAUAC